rnacentral:lncRNA from 1 species
CAUUCAAGUUUGACAGCAGUACAAUCAGUUUUCCAUUCAUCACUGGCCCUGUUUUAACCCUGCUGAAAAAGGGCCUAAUGUACGUGGCAGUGAUGGCAAUUAGGCAGAAAAGUAAUAUUAGAAACAGACAAAAGCCUGAGUCUUUUAGCAUUACAGGUGUUUUUUUUUUUUUUUAGCCCGUUCUAGACAUAAAGGAAUAGGCAGUGUUGUUAAGUUCCCUUCUUCAGUCUUCUCUUAAGCUGAAAGUCCAACGAUUUCAAGAUUCAAUUAAUUAGAGACAUGGAGAGCCAAAGUACAAGAUACCUGUACGGAGAACUUGGGAGGCAUUUUUAUAAGCUCAUUGUCAAGUGAAUGUUAAAGUCCCCAUUCACUGAGAAGCAAAGGGUGAAGAAGUGAGACCCUACAUGGCUUUUUAGUGCAUUGAUGGAGCAGAGACACGUCUAUGAACAACUGCCUAUGCAAACUGAUUACUCGGCAGUAUAAUUUAUCAGUUUGUAUGAGUAAGUGAGUGCUUCUCACUAUGGAUUUAGCUUGCACUUCAAUUUAGAACUAGAAGGAAUAAGUGGAAAUCAGGAGAAAUAUUAAAGACAUUCCAGUGUCACUGAGCAUGCCGAAACCUGAAAACAUGUUCCAUUAUCUUGCUUUGGAUUUAUGGAAAUUCUGAACAGUGAUGUGAGAGUGACUACAGUUUGAAGUAUCUGUUAAAUACAGCAACAUGACAUCACAAGGAUUGUUUUGGAGUCUUCUGGAUAUGAGAACAUUAUAAAAGAUUUUCCAUACAAGAAAAAUUAAAAGAAGUUCUUCAGAGAGAGGGAGUAUGAUAUACGUCAGAAACUUCGGACUACAUAAAGAAAGAGCAUUAGAAAAAAAAUAA